rnacentral:rRNA from 1 species
AUGGGAAGGGAGCAUGCAAGCCGGAUCCGCGCUCCUCUCCUUCUCUCCCGCAUCCCGCAUCUCGUCCCCCUUCCUCUCCCAUCGCCGCGUUCGCCGCCACCGCUGCUCUCCCCGUCGUCAUCGCGCCGCCAUCCCCGCCUCCUCCCUGGGCGCCGCAUCUCCUCCCUCUUCCUCUCCCACCGCCACGUUCGCCGCCACCGCUGCUCUUCCCGUCGCCCUCGCCCUCGCGGUGCCAUCCCUGCAUCCUCCCUGGACGCGGCGAGGAUGGCGACUGGGCGCUGCGGGCGCACUGAGCACGCCCCGGAGCACCGCGGCCUCUGGUUCGGCUUCUCGACUGGCGGCCGCCUCUGCGCAUGGGACGACUCCCUCCCUCGCAUCUCUCUCGCGCCGUCGUCGCCAUCCUGCGGUCUUCGUCCUUCCGCCCUCCCUUUCUCCAGUCUGAGCCACUGCCAGCAUGGGAGUGAGGCCCCCAUCACCGCUGAGGACCAGCCCACCGCGCUCGCUGCCGUCGGCCGCGCCGCGCUCGCCAGCGCACAGAGCACGCCUUUACAUGUUGUGAUUCAGGGCGUCGCUGAUGCCCUCCCUGUACAUGCCUUCGCCUCGUUUGAGGAGUACUGCAUCACAAGACAAUGGUGGGAUUCACGUCAAAGAGCCAAUAAAGUUUGGUAUAACGAACUGGCCACGCAAGUUCCUGAGUCGACAAGGCCACUCCUAAGGCAAAUUGCAGCCUGCACGGAUUGGUGCUUUAACAGAUUUUUCCUUGUGGUGUGGAAUCAGCUGCUCGAAGGGAAGAAGCUUGGGCUGAUUCCAAAUCUGACUUUGGGCAACUGCUUGAGGGAGUUUCCACUUCUCUUUUUGUGUGUGAUUCUUGCUAUAAUGGAACUGGCAUACAUGAGGUCUGCCCUGGGUUUUACCUUGGUCUUGCAGUUAGCAAAUCAACUUUUUGGAAUGUUCAAGCGCGGGGAGCGGGGUGGGGGCCGGCGUGAGGCAGUAAGCCAGCGCGCGGGCGUGGCCAGUGUGGGGUGCACGAGGAAGCAGAAGGCACGGGCGCGUGGCGCGCUUCGGCGCGCGCUUCGGCGCGGCCAGGAGCAGGGGUGCGGCGAUGCGGUUUUGCACGGGCCGGCGGGAGAGCGUGCUCGGCCACAGGGGCUAACGGAGGAGAAGGGGGAGCUCACGGGGUGUUGUAGGGAACGGGGCAGUGGGGCUCGAGGAGGAGGUCGGAGACGUCGUUCCGGUGGGGAGGCAGACCAUCAUGGUAGCUCCGGGUGGCGGCGGGGUCCGGUGGGCGUCGAGGUCGACGCGGUUGUCGGGGGCGAGCGCCGUCCGGUGGGGGAGGAGGAUGGGGAUGCGGCGCAGGAGGUUGGGAGCCGCGAGGAGGAGGCCGGGGGUGGCAGUGCUCGGCGCCGGCGGGCGGCGGCCUCUAGGGAGCGGCGGCUCGGGUGUCGGUCGCCCGCUCCACUGAGCGAGCUCGAGGUUAAGGCGGUGCCAACCUCAAGCUGGCUCCUCACCUCCAAGUGGAGAACGGGGAAGGUGACUAGAAGAUUCGGCCCCGUCGGCCCCCUGUGGUGGUGCGCGGCUGGCAACGGAGUCGCCGACGCCUUGAGAUGCGGGUACCCGGCUGAGCUAAGCCUUGCGUAUCUGAGCGAUGCGACGACCACGGCCAUUGUUCGGGCGGCCUACCAUGGCAGGGUGCACGCUGACGAUGGAUGA